rnacentral:rRNA from 1 species
GUGUCAGCCGCCGCGGUAAUACGGAGGGUGCAAGCGUUAUCCGGAUUCACUGGGUUUAAAGGGAGCGUAGGUGGGCUUGUAAGUCAGUGGUGAAAUCUCUGGGCUUAACCCGGAAACUGCCAUUGAUACUAUAGGUCUUGAAUUCUCUGGAGGUAAGCGGAAUAUGUCAUGUAGCGGUGAAAUGCUUAGAUAUGACAUAGAACACCCAUUGCGAAGGCAGCUUACUACGGAGACAUUGACACUGAGGCUCGAAAGCGUGGGGAUCAAACAGGAUUAGAAACCCCUGUAGUCC